GAUGAACGCUGGCGGCGUGCCUAAUACAUGCAAGUCGAGCGAACAGAUGAGGAGCUUGCUCCUCUGACGUUAGCGGCGGACGGGUGAGUAACACGUGGAUAACCUACCUAUAAGACUGGGAUAACUUCGGGAAACCGGAGCUAAUACCGGAUAAUAUAUUGAACCGCAUGGUUCAAUAGUGAAAGACGGUUUUGCUGUCACUUAUAGAUGGAUCCGCGCCGCAUUAGCUAGUUGGUAAGGUAACGGCUUACCAAGGCAACGAUGCGUAGCCGACCUGAGAGGGUGAUCGGCCACACUGGAACUGAGACACGGUCCAGACUCCUACGGGAGGCAGCAGUAGGGCAUCUUCCGCACUGGGCGAAAGCCUGACGGAGCAACGCCGCGUGAGUGAUGAAGGUCUUCGGAUCGUAAAACUCUGUUAUUAGGGAAGAACAAAUGUGUAAGUAACUAUGCACGUCUUGACGGUACCUAAUCAGAAAGCCACGGCUAACUACGUG
rnacentral:rRNA from 1 species